rnacentral:rRNA from 1 species
CACCGCGGUUAUACGAGGGGUCCAAGUUGAUUAGUUAACGGCGUAAAGAGUGGUUAGUACCCUUACGAAAUAAAGCCAAAUAUUCUCAAAGCCGUUAUACGCUCCCGAGAACAAGAAGCCCAACUACGAAAGUAGCUUUAAAUAUGCGAUUCCACGAAAGCCAGGGAA